GAUGAACGCUAGCUACAGGCUUAACACAUGCAAGUCGAGGGGAAACGGCAUCGAAAGCUUGCUUUUGAUGGGCGUCGACCGGCGCACGGGUGAGUAACGCGUAUCCAACCUGCCCAUCACUUGGGAAUAACCUUGCGAAAGUAAGACUAAUGCCCAAUGACAUCCCACGAAGGCAUCCGAAUGGGAUUAAAGAUUUAUCGGUGAUGGAUGGGGAUGCGUCUGAUUAGCUUGUUGGCGGGGUGACGGCCCACCAAGGCAACGAUCAGUAGGGGUUCUGAGAGGAAGGUCCCCCACAUGGGAACUGGGACACGGUCCAAACUCCUACGGGAGGCAGCAGUGAGGAAUAUUGGUCAAUGGGCGAGAGCCUGAACCAGCCAAGUAGCGUGCAGGAUGACGGCCCUAUGGGUUGUAAACUGCUUUUAUAAGGGAAUAAAGUGGGUCACGUGUGACUUUUUGCAUGUACCUUAUGAAUAAGGACCGGCUAAUUCCGUG
rnacentral:rRNA from 1 species